UGCCAGCGUUUAAAGACGGGGACUCUAAUGAGACUGCCGGUGCAAACCGCGAGGAAGGUGGGGACGACGUCAAGUCAUCACGGCCCUUACGUCUUGGGCUACACACGUGCUACAAUGGUAAGUACAGAGGGCAGCUACUUGGCAACAAGAUGCGAAUCUCAAAAACUUAUCUCAGUUCGGAUUGGAGUCUGCAACUCGACUCUAUGAAGCUGGAAUCGCUAGUAAUCGCAUAUCAGCCAUGAUGCGGUGAAUACGUUCCCGGGCCUUGUACGCACCGCCCGUCAAGCCAUGGAAGCUGGGGGUACCUGAAGUCGGUGACCGUAAUAGGAGCUGCCUAGGGUAAAACUGGUAACUAGGGCUAAGUCGUAACAAGGUAGCCGUA
rnacentral:rRNA from 1 species